CCUACGGGUGACAGCAGUGGGGAAUAUUGCACAAUGGGGGAAACCCUGAUGCAGCAACGCCGCGUGAAGGAAGACGGUUUUCGGUUUGUAAACUUCUGUUCUUAGUGAAGAAGAAUGACGGUUGCUAGGGAGAAAGCCACGGCUAACUACGUGCCAGCAGCCGCGGUAAUACGUAGGGUGCAAGCGUUUACCGGAAUUACUGGGUGUAAAGGGAGCGCAGGCGGGAAGCCAAGUCAGCUGUGAAAACUACGGGCUUAACUUGUAGACUGCAGUUGAAACUGGUUGUCUUGAGUGAAGUAGAGGUUGGCGGAAUGCCGAGUGUAGCGGUGAAAUGCGUAGAUAUUCGGAGGAACACCGGUGGCGAAGGCGGCCAACUGGGCUUUAACUGACGCUGAGGCUCGAAAGUGUGGGGAGCAAACAGGAUUAGAUACCCCGGUAGUC
rnacentral:rRNA from 1 species